AAGGAAGAAAGUGCUCUGAUCAGCUGCCGGUAGCAUGCCGUUGACUUUUAUGGUCAGGAGGGAGGAGCUGCUGUUCAUUGUUGUUUCUUGGGCAUUAAUUUUGAGGAAACCUUUCAAGUCCAAGAGUCUAUUCAAAACAAGAUGACCUUUUGAUCCAGCAAUUAGACAGCAUCCUCCAUGAUCCAUGAAUCAAAGUGAGCU